GUAAAAAGCCUUUAGAAAAAAAAAAAAAAAAGCCUUUAGAAAUUGCCCAAGAAAAAUUCUUCCAUCUUAUCUACUUUACCUUCACAUCAGCUACACAAUGUCCAAGUUCUAAUCAAUAUACACACAAAAAAAAUACUGAUUGAAUGUUUGUGGGAUAAAACUCUAUAUAUCCUCAAGAACUCAAGUUCUUACCUGAAGUUCCAUCUUAUCCCAAAGACAAAANNNNNNNNNNNNNNNNNNNNNNNNNNNNNNNNNNNNNNNNNNNNNNNNNNNNNNNNNNNNNNNNNNNNNNNNNNNNNNNNNNNNNNNNNNNNNNNNNNNCUUACCUGAAGUUCCAUCUUAUCCCAAAGACAAAAAGGAUAUAUAAUAGAUGGGAAAUAUAUGAACUAGACCCACCAAUGUAGUGAAAUUCACACAAGAAAAUUACUGAGCGACAACUGGGAAAGGCCGAUGAAUGCUGAGUUUUAAAGGAUGGGAACAUUUAGAUAGGUGAGAUCGAGGGUCCUAUCGGGGAGAGAAAAAACAGGAUGAAGUUACAGCAAAAGGAGGGACAGAGUAUAUGCAGUAUAUAGAGAGAGACUGCCAGACUUGACUGGCCCGCAGCAAGAAGCAGUGCUCUCAGCUCCCAGAAACACGAUUCCCACUGUGAACAGCAUCCCCCAGAGCUGUGCAAAGUGGCGAUCCUGGUUAACUCGUUUAGAAAAGUAACAGGUGGAGGCUUCACUAAAAGGGAUACGUGAGCAAAAUACUAAACACAUUUAGACAGGUUCAGUCCAUACUACCGUAUCAAAGUAUGGGAGAAGUCCCAAACGGGAAACUGCAUCAGCCAGGCCUAACUCAAAUUUCAGGUUUGGCCCUCUCCCUCCAUAACCCCUUCCUAUAAAUAUUUCUCAGAAUCAGUGUCCUAAGGCCUUCAGAGCCAAGUUCCAUCUUGAUAAAGAGAAAAACGAGAAACCACUGAGAGUUUUAGUCAAGAAAUGACAGCAGGCAAACUAUGUAAAAAACACAACAAAACAAAAAAUUCUGGCACAAAUAUCAAAGGUAGAUUAAAGCAGCAUAAAGCAGCAGAUCUAAGAAGUCUGAGAGUAAAACUGCUUAAAAUCCUUCUGGGAGCAAACUCACCCACUGAGUUAAUACAAUGAGCAAUAAAUCUACAUUGCUAAUCAAGGUAUUUAAAAAGCAUCUUUUCAACAGUCAAAUCCUUUUUAAGAUCUACUUUUCAGGGCACGCAACUUUUAGUCCCAUAUUUGUCAAAUCUUUACAGUAGUCAUACCAGUUUACAGUUAAGAGAAUAAUCUCAGAUUUCACAAUGUAAGCAAGCAGUAAACCAUCAUUUUUUCCUUCUGAGGCCCAAGUGACAAAAAUAUUAAUAUAAAGCAGGUAUCCCAGAUAUUGAGGUGCCAUAUUGUUGAAAAUUACCCAACUCAGAAAUACUAAAUAAUAUUCUUACCAAAGAGGUAACUGCAUACUAAUGUUUAGAAUAACUAACACAGUUCUAGGAAAAUUUUAAUAAAAAUAGCUUUAAAAGAAUAAAAGAAAUAGCUUUAAAAGGGUUACCUACAAUUUAUCUGGAUCUCCCUGCCAGAAAUCUUUAUUAGUUUUAAUUUCCACAAUCAUUAGUAAAUUACAGCCCACGAUUCCUAAAUAUAUUCUAAAGCAUAGCCAACAAGCCUAAGUUUUGGGAACAAAUGAACAAAAAAAUGUUCAGCACAGUCUUGAGAUGGACUUGCUUUGCAAUUAAGUUCAAUAUAAAAUGUAUUUUAAAAACGGAUACAGGCUAGUUACUAUAGUGUCAUAAAUGAAGCACAAAAAUAAUUGCAUUUUAAAUCUGGUUUUCAAUUGUAAUCCAUACGGGAUAUACAGUAUUAGACAAAAUUAGUUUAAAAGUCAGAUCAGUUUAUAUAAAAUGAAUCUUACAGUAGAUUGCUGAACUACAUAAAUUGUUAUUUAACAUUUAAGUAAAACAGCAGUAACUUUUGUUUUCANNNNNNNNNNNNNNNAUUAUUUGGUCUUAUGUCAUUAAUAUUCUUGAAAGAUCAUAAAGGACCAACACUGUUUCUGAAGGAAUAGCUACUUGUUAACUGAAGUUAAUAAGGACCACUACUUAUCCACCAAUUUAUGUCCUUUUAGUUUGAAGGAACAUCUGAUAUAAAUGUCCCUUUCAACAUAAAAUCAGAGCUAGACUAAAGCAUAAAUAUACAGUACUGUACUGACAUAGCAUUCAGCAUUUUUACAUAAAUAGGCCCCCAUUUUCAACUCAUUUGGAAAUGGCAUACACUGGGGCAUGAAAACAAAGAGAACAUUCUCCUCUUAGGGCUUUUACAGUGCUUAAUAAGUAACUUAAUAACUAUAGAUGGAUCUUCUGAAAGAAGACAGUGCACACACAUAUCACAAAUAUUUUCAAUUUACUGGUUUUACAAUGAUCACAAAACCAACCAACCCCACAACUCAAACUUGGCUACAACAGUCAAAACUACUUGAAAGCCCGAUGUUCAAAGUCAAAUAAAUCAAUAACACCCUUCUAA
ensembl:lncRNA